UCUGUAGUCCGAUGAUCAUAAACAUCGCAACUCUUCAAUCAUAACAACCAAACCAUCCCGCAAAAAUAGGAUGAAACAUAGAUUAAGGAUUGCUCACCGCAUCGUCAAGCUCAAUCCUGAAACUGAAGUACAAAUCCUUGAGCUCUUCUCGAGCUACAAUUAGAAGUGGGGAAAAUCAGAGAAAAGGAAUCACAUCUCGAGCCGAUGGGGACGGGGAAUACAUCAAACGGCGAUGAUGAGAAGGGAGAUGGAACACUUUCGGUGCUCACUGUAAAGUUCUUCCGAGCGCCGGGGAACAGGCGGUCUUUGCCGACGCUCAGGCCGGCAUUUCUUUGGCUCUGGAUACGUCACGGCAGAGAAGACGACAAUGCGAUUGCCGGGAACUACAAGAAACACCUAUGAGGUGAAGAACUUCAGAGCUGAUGAACUACUGGAUAAGGUGGAUCCUUAAUAGCUGCUGUUCUUUCAUUGUCCUCUUAUAGUUGCCAACUUUAAUCCUAUUACAGAUGUCUUAUACUUGCCAAUUCCUCGUGCUAGUUUAUAAAUCUAUACAAGUUACGAUGCUUGUCCUAGAAUAGCA